AGGCGGGGAAUUAGCCGGGGGGGUGUGGAGUGCGGAAGAGAAAGCCAGUGGUGGUGGUGGUGGUGGACGUCGUGGGGUCGCCACGUGGGGUGGGUGUGUUUCCCCCACAACAAGAGUUGGCGGCUCUAUGCUGGGCGCACGACGUCGUCGUCGUUGUUGUUUCCCUCUCCCACCUUAGAGAUUCCCCCCCCCGCGAUGGUUUCCUCCUCCCCUCAGCCCGCCCUCCUCCUCAUUCCCCCCGCAACCGCGAGAGGGUUAACAGCGCGGCAGACCUUCAAGACUCCGAGGCAAGGGAGCGCGAGCUCCUGUUUGGCAGCAAGAGGCUGUGCGCAUGCGCGCGGGAUUCGUGAGGUGCCGCUGUAGCCGCCAGUUCGGUUUGGCUGAACCGGCGUCAGGCGCAGCGCGCGGCAGCUGAGGCGGCCGGUGGCGGGGAGAAGAAGGGGGCCCUCGCCCGGUUAGCUGGAGGUGAGAGGCCGGGCAGAGCUGUAGGGGAGGCUAUAGGGGAGGCAGCCCCACCCCUACUUAAAAUCUGCUCCAGAUGGUUCCCCAACCCUCCCAAGGAGAUUUGGUAGAUGUGCAAGAGGCGGCAGGGAGGAGGAGAGGAACCUGAAGUCCUGUUAUGCAAGUAGAAGUUCAUUCUGGGCACAAUUGCAUAUCUUCAUUUUUAUAUAGCUUGCUUUUCUGUAAACCACUUUGAUAGCCUUUUUGGCUAAAGGAAGGAGUAUAAAUGCCCAAUGUAUUCAUUCAUGCAUAUAUUAAUAAAAUUCAACAAAAUUGUUGAGCUUA